rnacentral:rRNA from 1 species
UAUAGUUUAUUUGAUGGUUCCUCGCUACAUGGAUAACUGUGGUAAUUCUAGAGCUAAUACAUGCUGAAGGCCCCGACUCGCGAAGGGGCGUGUUUAUUAGACCAAAGACCAACGCCCUCCGGGGCUCGCUGGUGAAUCAUGAUAACCGCACGAAUCGCAUGGCCUUGCGCCGGCGAUGGUUCAUUCAAAUUUCUGCCCUAUCAGCUUUCGAUGGUAGGAUAGUGGCCUACCAUGGCGUCAACGGGUGACAGGCAAUUAGGGUUGGAUUCUGGAGAGGGGGCCUGAGAAAUGGCCACCACAUCCAAGGAAGGCAGCAGGCGCGCAAAUUACCCAAUCCCGACACGGGGAGGUAGUGACAAAACAUACUGAUGCAGGGCUCUUUUGGGUCUUGCAAUCGGAAUGGGUACAACCUAAAACCCUUAACGAGGAACAAUUGGAGGGCAAGUCUGGUGCCAGCAGCCGCGGUAAUUCCAGCUCCAAUAGCGUAUAUUAAAGUUGUUGCAGUUAAAAAGCUCGUAGUUGAACCUGGGGUCUGGUUGGCCGGUCCGCCUCACCGCGUGCACUGGACCGACCGGGCCUUUCCUCCCGGGGAACCGCAUGCCCUUUGCUGGGUGUGCUGGGGAUCCGGGACCUUUACCUUGAGAAAAUCAGAGUGUUCAAAGCAGGCCUAUGCUCGGAUGCGUUAGCAUGGAAUAAUAGAAUAGGACGUGCGGUCCUAUUUUGUUGGUCUCUGGGACCGCCGUAAUGAUUGAUAGGGAUGGUCGGGGGCGUCCGUAUUCCACUGUCAGAGGUGAAAUUCUUGGAUUUGUGGAAGACGAACUACUGCGAAAGCAUUCGCCAAGGAUGUUUUCAUUAAUCAGUGAACGAAAGUUAGGGGAUCGAAGACGAUCAGAUACCGUCGUAGUCUUAACCAUAAACAAUGCCGACUAGGGAUCGGGCGAUGUUACCUUUUUGACUCGCUCGGCACCUUACGAGAAAUCAAAGUGUUUGGGUUCUGGGGGGAGUAUGGUCGCA